rnacentral:rRNA from 1 species
UUGAACGCUGGCGGCAGGCCUAACACAUGCAAGUCGAGCGGAUGAAGGGAGCUUGCUCCUGGAUUCAGCGGCGGACGGGUGAGUAAUGCCUAGGAAUCUGCCUGGUAGUGGGGGAUAACGUCCGGAAACGGGCGCUAAUACCGCAUACGUCCUGAGGGAGAAAGUGGGGGAUCUUCGGACCUCACGCUAUCAGAUGAGCCUAGGUCGGAUUAGCUAGUUGGUGGGGUAAAGGCCUACCAAGGCGACGAUCCGUAACUGGUCUGAGAGGAUGAUCAGUCACACUGGAACUUAGACACGGUCCAGACUCCUACGGGAGGCAGCAGUGGGGAAUAUUGGACAAUGGGCGAAAGCCUGAUCCAGCCAUGCCGCGUGUGUGAAGAAGGUCUUCGGAUUGUAAAGCACUUUAAGUUGGGAGGAAGGGCAGUAAGUUAAUACCUUGCUGUUUUGACGUUACCAACAGAAUAAGCACCGGCUAACUUCGUG